CCUACGGGUGGCUGCAGUGAGGAAUAUUGGUCAAUGGGCGCGAGCCUGAACCAGCCAAGUCGCGUGAGGGAAGACGGCCCUACGGGUUGUAAACCUCUUUUGCCGGGGAGCAACGGGCGCCACGUGUGGUGCCACUGAGAGUACCCGGAGAACAAGCAUCGGCUAACUUCGUGCCAGCAGCCGCGGUAAUACGGAGGAUGCGAGGGUUAUCCGGAUUUAUUGGGUUAAAAGGGUGCGUAGGCGGAGCGUUAAGUCAGUGGUCAAAUUGAGGGGCGCAACCCUUUCCAGCCAUUGAAACUGGCGCUCUUGAGUGGAAGAGAAGGGUGCGGAAUGCGUGGUGUAGCGGUGAAAUGCAUAGAUAUCACGCAGAACCCCGAUUGCGAAGGCAGCAUGCCGGCUUCCGACUGACGCUGAAGCACGAAAGCGUGGGGAUCGAACAGGAUUAGAUACCCGGGUAGUC
rnacentral:rRNA from 1 species